CAGCCAGACUCCUACGGGAGGCAGCAGUGGGGAAUAUUGCACAAUGGGGGGAACCCUGAUGCAGCGACGCCGUGUGAGUGAAGAAGUAUUUCGGUAUGUAAAGCUCUAUCAGCAGGGAAGAAAAUGACGGUACCUGACUAAGAAGCCCCGGCUAACUACGUGCCAGCAGCCGCGGUAAUACGUAGGGGGCGAGCGUUAUCCGGAUUCACUGGGUGUAAAGGGAGCGUAGGCGGCCAAGCAGGCCAGGAGUGAAAGCCCGGGGCCCAACCCCGGGACUGCCCUUGGAACUGCAUGGCUGGAGUGUGGGAGGGGCAGGCGGAAUUCCUGGUGUAGCGGUGAAAUGCGUAGAUAUCAGGAGGAACACCGGCGGCGAAGGCGGCCUGCUGGACUGCGACUGACGUUGAGGCUCGAAAGCGUGGGGAGCGAACAGGAUUAGAUACCCCCGUACC
rnacentral:rRNA from 1 species